GACGAACGCUGGCGGCGUGCUUAACACAUGCAAGUCGAACGGAAAGGCCCUGCUUUUGUGGGGUGCUCGAGUGGCGAACGGGUGAGUAACACGUGAGUAACCUGCCCUUGACUUUGGGAUAACUUCAGGAAACUGGGGCUAAUACCGGAUAGGAGCUCCUGCUGCAUGGUGGGGGUUGGAAAGUUUCGGCGGUUGGGGAUGGACUCGCGGCUUAUCAGCUUGUUGGUGGGGUAGUGGCUUACCAAGGCUUUGACGGGUAGCCGGCCUGAGAGGGUGACCGGCCACAUUGGGACUGAGAUACGGCCCAGACUCCUACGGGAGGCAGCAGUGGGGAAUAUUGCACAAUGGGCGGAAUCCUGAUGCAGCAACGCCGCGUGCGGGAUGACGGCCUUCGGGUUGUAAACCGCUUUCGCCUGUGACGAAGCGUGAGUGACGGUAAUGGGUAUAGAAGCACCGGCUAACUACGUG
rnacentral:rRNA from 1 species